rfam:Pontibacillus litoralis JSM 072002 contig2, whole genome shotgun sequence.
AAGCCCUUUAACAUAGUCCUGUGAGGCUAAGAAGGAAUUCGGAUAAAAGAGCAGAGUACUAUACGUAUGUAUAUCUGCAUCCAAAUCCCCUCUUGCCAAUAGCGAGAGGGGAUUUUUUUG